UGUAGGUAGUAAUGCGGUGAAAAAUAAUGAUUUAUGAUCAGAUACUUCUUUUUCCGAUUAUUUUAGCGUAUUUUUGAGAUUUUAAAAAGUACUGGACAUUUUUUUAAUUUUUUUUUAGUUACAAAUUAAUACUAUUUUAUGUUUACAUUUAUGCAAACACAUUUUACCGAACUUUGUUUAAUGAUUUAUCGUUACGUAUUUUUUUUUUUUUUUGUU